ensembl:lncRNA
UGAGGGAGGCAAUAGCUCUUUUGCCGCAGUUCCUUGCCCUCUCUCAUGCCCGUUGAUGUAACCUUACACGGUGGCUUUGUCGAUAGUGACAAUCGCGUCGGGUCUCCCUCCCGUUUGCUCUCACUGCGGCUGCAGUUGUGCCGCUCCACCGCCAGGCGGCGCCCUCGCAGCGCAGCCCGGUUUCACAGCUCCGUCCUCCAUCCCCCGGACUGACGAUGGCCACAGCACGUCUUCAUAUUGAUAUGGCCAUUAAAUAUUAAGCAGCAGUACUGUGAAUUCAUCUGCUUAUCAUCUUCAGCAUUCCCAUCAAACUUUAUCACCGUUCUCUAGCCAGGAUGGAUCUAUAUGAAGCCAACAAUUAUGUGUUUGGAUUGUCCUGUUGGAUUGCUACGGUGAAAUCCAGAGAGGAGGACUUGAAGAGCUGCAGUCCCUUACAUCAACAUCAAAAUGGAACCCAAGGACAACCACGCUGAACAUUCAGGUUCCUUAUAUCCUCUAUAUCCUGUAGUAGAGAAUGAAAAUGUUGUCCAGUGUAUGACACAGUUACUUUUUACUGAAAAAAAUUAAUCAAGGGAUUUAAAAACACAGACAGAGUAGGAAACUUCUGAAAACUUAGGAUUUCUGGAUGCUUUGAGAACUCCCAAACUGGCAGAAUUCAGUUCAUACAUAGCAUAGUCCUAACAAAGACACCAUUGAAAAUAUCAUCUCCAGCCACUGCUCUGUAGACACCAAACCCUUCGUGGUGUCUUCCCUUCUCAAGCUAAACAAGCCCAGCUCCCUCAACCUUUCUUUAUAGGAGAGAUGCUCCAACCCCCCCCCCCGGUGUCUUUGUGACCCCCUCUGAACCUGUUCCAAAAGCUCAACGUCAUUUUCUUUAAGUAUUUGUUCAAUGCUGGUAUUUUUAUUCGUGAAAAUUCAGGCUGUUGAUUCCACCUUUAAGUGUUGUGUGGAAUGUGUGCUGU